rnacentral:sRNA from 1 species
GGCUGUGUGUGUGUGUGCGUGUGUAUAUGUGUGUGUGUGUGUGAGAGAGAGAGAGAACAGCGUGAGCCUGUGUGCUUGUGUGCUGAGCCCUCAUCCCCUCCUGGGGCCAGGCUUGGGUUUCACCUGCAGAAUCGCUUGUGCUGGGCUGCCUGGGCUGUCCUCAGUGGCACCUGCAUGAAGCCGUUCUGGCUGCCAGAGCUGGACAGCCCCAGGAAAACCCACCUCUCUGCAGAGCUUGCCCAGCUGUCCCCGGGAAGCCAAAUGCCUCUCAUGUAAGUCUUCUGCUCGACGGGGUGUCUCCUAAACCCUCACUCUUCAGCCUCUGUUUGACCAUGAAAUGAAGUGACUGAGCUCUAUUCUGUACCUGCCACUCUAUUUCUGGGGUGACUUUUGUCAGCUGCCCAGAAUCUCCAAGCCAGGCUGGUUCUCUGCAUCCUUUCAAUGACCUGUUUUCUUCUGUAACCACAGGAUGCAUGACCCUAAGAGCCCUUUCUUGGGCUUGCUCAGAUUCGGUGGUGAGAGGAAGCCUCGCAGAAUCCAG